CCUACGGGCGGCAGCAGUGGGGAAUAUUGGACAAUGGGCGAAAGCCUGAUCCAGCCAUGCCGCGUGUGUGAAGAAGGCCUUCGGGUUGUAAAGCACUUUCAGUGGGGAAGAAAGCCUUGGGGCUAAUACCCUCGAGGAAGGACAUCACCCACAGAAGAAGCACCGGCUAACUCCGUGCCAGCAGCCGCGGUAAUACGGAGGGUGCGAGCGUUAAUCGGAAUUACUGGGCGGAAAGCGCGCGUAGGCGGUCUGAUAAGCCGGUUGUGAAAGCCCCGGGCUCAACCUGGGAACGGCAUCCGGAACUGUCAGGCUAGAGUGCAGGAGAGGAAGGUAGAAUUCCCGGUGUAGCGGUGAAAUGCGUAGAGAUCGGGAGGAAUACCAGUGGCGAAGGCGGCCUUCUGGACUGACACUGACGCUGAGGUGCGAAAGCGUGGGUAGCAAACAGGAUUAGAUACCCGUGUAGUC
rnacentral:rRNA from 1 species